AUUGAACGCUGGCGGCAUGCUUUACACAUGCAAGUCGAACGGCAGCGGGGGCUUCGGCCCGCCGGCGAGUGGCGAACGGGUGAGUAAUGCAUCGGAACGUGCCCAGUCGUGGGGGAUAACACAUCGAAAGAUGUGCUAAUACCGCAUACGUCCUGAGGGAGAAAGCGGGGGAUCUUCGGACCUCGCGCGAUUGGAGCGGCCGAUGUCGGAUUAGCUAGUUGGUGGGGUAAAAGCCCACCAAGGCGACGAUCCGUAGCGGGUCUGAGAGGAUGAUCCGCCACACUGGGACUGAGACACGGCCCAGACUCCUACGGGAGGCAGCAGUGGGGAAUUUUGGACAAUGGGGGCAACCCUGAUCCAGCCAUGCCGCGUGGAGGAUGACUGCCCUCUGGGUUGUAAACUCCUUUUGUACGGGAAGAAACCUUUCCAUUUAUGGGUGAGCUGACGGUACCGUAAGAAUAAGCACCGGCUAACUCCGUGCCAGCAGCCGCGGUAAUUACUGACU
rnacentral:rRNA from 1 species